rnacentral:rRNA from 1 species
GAGUUUGAUCCUGGCUCAGAUUGAACGCUGGCGGAAUGCUUUACACAUGCAAGUCGAACGGUAGAGGGGGCAACCCCUUGAGAGUGGCGAACGGGUGAGUAAUAUAUCGGAACGUGCCCAGUCGUGGGGGAUAACGUAGUGAAAAUUACGCUAAUACCGCAUACGAUCUAAGGAUGAAAGCGGGGGAUCGCAAGACCUCGCGCGACUGGAGCGGCCGAUAUCAGAUUAGGUAGUUGGUAGGGUAAAGGCCUACCAAGCCAACGAUCUGUAGCUGGUCUGAGAGGACGACCAGCCACACUGGAACUGAGACACGGUCCAGACUCCUACGGGAGGCAGCAGUGGGGAAUUUUGGACAAUGGGCGAAAGCCUGAUCCAGCCAUUCCGCGUGCAGGAUGAAGGCCCUCGGGUUGUAAACUGCUUUUGUACAGAACGAAAAGGUUUCUAUUAAUACUAGGAGCUCAUGACGGUACUGUAAGAAUAAGCACCGGCUAACUACGUGCCAGCAGCCGCGGUAAUACGUAGGGUGCAAGCGUUAAUCGGAAUUACUGGGCGUAAAGCGUGCGCAGGCGGUUAUAUAAGUCAGAUGUGAAAUCCCCGGGCUCAACCUGGGAACUGCAUUUGAGACUGUAUAGCUAGAGUACGGUAGAGGGGGAUGGAAUUCCGCGUGUAGCAGUGAAAUGCGUAGAUAUGCGGAGGAACACCGAUGGCGAAGGCAAUCCCCUGGACCUGUACUGACGCUCAUGCACGAAAGCGUGGGGAGCAAACAGGAUAGAUACCUG